rnacentral:piRNA from 1 species
AAUGCAUGCAAGCCCUGGGAUUCUUUA